rnacentral:rRNA from 1 species
UCUACGGGUGGCAGCAGUGGGGAAUAUUGGGCAAUGGAGGAAACUCUGACCCAGCAAUGCCGCGUGAAUGAAGAAGGUCUUCGGAUUGUAAAGUUCUUUAGUCAGGGAAGAAGUCAAUGACGGUACCUGAAGAAUAAGCUCCGGCUAACUACGUGCCAGCAGCCGCGGUAAUACGUAGGGAGCAAGCGUUGUUCGGAGUGACUGGGCGUAAAGGGUGCGUAGGCGGUUGUACCAGUUACAACUGAAAUACCCAGGGCUUAACUCGGGUGCUGCUUCUAAAACUGUAUGACUUGAGUGGAGUAGAGGUUAGCGGAAUUCCUGGUGUAGCGGUGGAAUGCGUAGAUAUUAGGAGGAACACCAGAGGCGAAGGCGGCUAACUGGACUGCAACUGACGCUGAGGCACGAAAGUGUGGGGAGCAAACAGGAUUAGAUACCCGAGUAGUC